UCUGCCAAUGACCCUGUCAGGGCGGAAGACGAUCUCCAACUCCAGAAAGGAACAGUACCUAACACCUUGAUUGAGAGACUCUGCGCAGAAACCCAGCUAAGCCAUUUACCUGGACUCCUGACUCAGUUUAUGAGUAAAUAGAGGAGCAAGGACACACAAGGAUUGUACUCUCUACAAAUUCCAAAGAAAGGGAAGUCACAAUGAAAUGAAGUAUACAAUCGGACCUGAUCAAGUUUUUGAUCCAAUUAACAGAAAGAAACUAGCUCUAUCUGACAUGGAAGAAAAGGAGGUUAUUAAAAGAAUCAUUGGAAAGACCAAAGACCCAAGCUGUAAAUUAAUUAAUUGCCAGGAAUAAAAAGAAAAAACACUGCA